rnacentral:rRNA from 1 species
CCUACGGGAGGCAGCAGUGGGGAAUAUUGCACAAUGGGGGAAACCCUGAUGCAGCGACGCCGCGUGAGCGAUGAAGUAUUUCGGUAUGUAAAGCUCUAUCAGCAGGGAAGAAAAUGACGGUACCUGACUAAGAAGCCCCGGCUAACUACGUGACAGCAGCCGCGGUAAUACGUAGGGGGCAAGCGUUAUCCGGAUUUACUGGGUGUAAAGGGGGCGUAGACGGGGAUGCAAGCCAGAUGUGAAAGCCAGGGGCUCAACCCCGGGACUGCAUUUGUAACUGUAUAGCUGGAGUGUCGGAGAGGCAGGCGGAAUUCCUAGUGUAGCGGUGAAAUGCGUAGAUAUUAGGAGGAACACCAGUGGCGAAGGCGGACUGCUGGACGAUGACUGACGUUGAGGCUCGAAAGCGUGGGGAGCAAACAGGAUUAGAUACCCCAGUAGUC